GUGGAUUAGCAAACCUAAAUUAAAUGCAUUCCACUAACAUCAUCGAAGAUAAUUAAAAAGAUAAUCAUAGAUGAUGUAUGGACUAAUACUCUGAUGCUAAUAAUUGGAAUAACCUUAUAUGUAUCCGAAUUCUGACAUUCUAGAAGGGAUAAAUAGUGAUAAGAGUGUAGAUAGCGGAAGACCAAGUUUAGAAUACAUAGCACAAUUUAUUAUUCUAAUGUAUAUGAAACUAGCAUGAAAGUAUUAGAUUGUCAUGACCU
rnacentral:lncRNA from 1 species